CACACACUUCUACGUCACUGUAUCAGCUGGGAGAGAAACCUGCAACAUAAACUAUGAAUAUUUAUUAUUGCAACUAUGGAAUGGAAUGAUGGAGAGCAGGGGGCAUGUGGGAAAUAUAGUAAAUGUUUGUUUGGGGGGGGGGGGAUUGUUGUAAAAAUGUAUUUACCGAAAGCUGUCAAAUAGAUUCAGAACGAUUCGCCAGCACCAUUAAAACAGAUCUUUUUUGCUCCCCGUUGAACGUCCCCUGUACAUUGACCGAGUUGAGGAAUUUUCCAGAACUGCCUGUUAUUCUCGGUGCUGCGAAUACAAAAGGGCUUCCUCGCGCACAGUCCGUAUCACCGGAAGGAGCACGGGGAUAAAGCUUGCUGUGCUUUCACUGCCAUGUUUCUGAGAAGACCCGUGUGUCACACCUGAAGUUUGGAGACCUACACGGCCAACCGUCCUGCCAGCGCUUGUUUGACCUCCGCAAAUUGUCGAGAUAUUUCUGCGGCAGAUGGUCUUCUCCCCCCACCUGCGGUCCACUUCCAGAUUCCAGAUUUCCUCUCCCGGCUCCCUCCGCGGCCUCCGCCACGUGUAGCAGACUGCGUUUCACCUUCAGACAUCUGGCCAGCACGCCCGGAACAGAGUGGAGGGGAAAGGAGAGGCCCACACAAGCCACCUGCCCUGGGGACUGUUGCUGUUACACGCAGCACAUGUAAAGAUAAUAGCAUUUUUGCAUCUUUUAUUGCGCCCUGGGUGCAGUAGCAGCCUGUAGCCAGCGCAGGCUGAGGAUGUCUGCCAGAUAAUUAAAUAAUAGUGAUGACAAUGACAACAGGAGUAGUAAUAACAUUAUCGUGAUCAUGCUUUGUGCAUGUACAUGCAAUAGAUUAUCUAGUUAGCAGAGGGUACUAGCGGAGCGGGCUGUUUCCAAAUGACUAGCAAGUAACUAGUGGUGCCCAAAAACCUUCAGGUGAAAUAUGUCCAGAGUUACAAGCGUCAUUUUGAGAAGCCGUAACCACACUGUGAGUUUCUGCUGUCUGAGGGCUGAAGCUAAGCAGCUCCUGGCCUUGGUUAAUGUUUGGAUUUGGAUUGGAGACCAGAUGGAAAAAUCAGAGUUGCUGCUUUGCCGGAUGUGGCGUUCCUGGGCCAGUAGAGGGCGCUCUUUUCCCUGGCUCGAGCGGAAGGACCGACGCAGCGAGGGAGACACUCCGUAGGAGACGUCGCCUUUGUGUCAGACGCAACAUUAAACUGAGGUCUUGACUUACGGGGUGUUGUUAAAGACCCUGUGGUGCUUUCAGAACACAGUGGAAGGGGUUCCUUGGUGUCCCAGCCAAAUUUCCAACCUGGCUCUAUUAAUCUGGGCACCUGAGUAUUCUCUAAGUUAAUUGGGGUGAAUAGCUUCCGUGCGCCCCGCAGGUGGACGCGGAACAUUUGUGAUGUUUGAGGUGACCUUCCCCCCGUCACUGUUAAAGCACUCUGCGAUUAUGAAA